UACAGAGGGGGCAAGCGUUGUUCGGAAUUACUGGGCGUAAAGCGCGUGUAGGCUGCCCUGCAAGUCGGAUGUGAAAGCCCUGGGCUCAACCUAGGAAGUGCACUCGAAACUGCAGGGCUGGAGUCCUGGAGAGGAAGGCGGAAUUCUCGGUGUAGAGGUGAAAUUCGUAGAUAUCGAGAGGAACACCGGUGGCGAAGGCGGCCUUCUGGACAGUGACUGACGCUGAGACGCGAAAGCGUGGGGAGCAAACAGG
rnacentral:rRNA from 1 species